CGGCGUGCAUAUACAUGCAAGUCGAGCGGACAGAAGGGAGCUUGCUCCCGGAUGUUAGCGGCGGACGGGUGAGUAACACGUGGGUAACCUGCCUGUAAGACUGGGAUAACUCCGGGAAACCGGAGCUAAUACCGGAUAGUUCCUUGAACCGCAUGGUUCAAGGAUGAAAGACGGAGUUUUCNGGGCGUGUCACCUUANCAGAUGGANCCCNNGCGGCGCAUUAGCUAGUUGGUGAGGUAACGGCUCACCAAGGCGACGAUGCGUAGCCGACCUGAGAGGGUGAUCGGCCACACUGGGACUGAGACACGGCCCAGACUCCUACCGGGAGGCAGCAGUAGGGAAUCUUCCGCAAUGGACGAAAGUCUGACGGAGCAACGCCGCGUGAGUGAUGAAGGUUUUCGGAUCGUAAAGCUCUGUUGUUAGGGAAGAACAAGUGCAAGAGUAACUGCUUGCACCUUGACGGUACCUAACCAGAAAGCCACGGCUAACUACGUGCCAGCAGCCGCGGUAAUACGUAGGUGGCAAGCGUUGUCCGGAAUUAUUGGGCGUAAAGGGCUCGCAGGCGGUUUCUUAAGUCUGAUGUGAAAGCCCCCGGCUCAACCGGGGAGGGUCAUUGGAAACUGGGAAACUUGAGUGCAGAAGAGGAGAGUGGAAUUCCACGUGUAGCGGUGAAAUGCGUAGAGAUGUGGAGGAACACCAGUGGCGAAGGCGACUCUCUGGUCUGUAACUGACGCUGAGGAGCGAAAGCGUGGGGAGCGAACAGGAUUAGAUACCCUGGUAGUCCACGCCGUAAACGAUGAGUGCUAAGUGUUAGGGGGUUUCCGCCCCUUAGUGCUGCAGCUAACGCAUUAAGCACUCCGCCUGGGGAGUACGGUCGCAAGACUGAAACUCAAAGGAAUUGACGGGGGCCCGCACAAGCGGUGGAGCAUGUGGUUUAAUUCGAAGCAACGCGAAGAACCUUACCAGGUCUUGACAUCCUCUGACAACCCUAGAGAUAGGGCUUUCCCUUCGGGGACAGAGUGACAGGUGGUGCAUGGUUGUCGUCAGCUCGUGUCGUGAGAUGUUGGGUUAAGUCCCGCAACGAGCGCAACCCUUGAUCUUAGUUGCCAGCAUUCAGUUGGGCACUCUAAGGUGACUGCCGGUGACAAACCGGAGGAAGGUGGGGAUGACGUCAAAUCAUCAUGCCCCUUAUGACCUGGGCUACACACGUGCUACAAUGGACAGAACAAAGGGCUGCGAGACCGCAAGGUUUAGCCAAUCCCACAAAUCUGUUCUCAGUUCGGAUCGCAGUCUGCAACUCGACUGCGUGAAGCUGGAAUCGCUAGUAAUCGCGGAUCAGCAUGCCGCGGUGAAUACGUUCCCGGGCCUUGUACACACCGCCCGUCACACCACGAGAGUUUGCAACACCCGAAGUCGGUGAGGUAACCUUUAUGGAGCCAGCCGCCGAAGGUGGG
rnacentral:rRNA from 1 species